rnacentral:tRNA from 1 species
ACUUUUUAAGUAUUUGUAGUAUAUUCGAUUUCCAAUCGAAAGGAUUAAUAAAAUUAAAAGAAGUA